ACGUAUUCGUUGGAGCAUUUU
rnacentral:miRNA from 1 species